GAUGAACGCUAGCUACAGGCUUAACACAUGCAAGUCGAGGGGCAGCACAGUGUAGCAAUACACGGGUGGCGACCGGCGCACGGGUGCGUAACACGUAUCAAUCUGCCCGUUACUCGGGGAUAGCCUUCUGAAAGGAAGAUUAAUACCCGAUGGCAUGUAUUUCCGGCAUCGGAGAUACAUUAAAGAUUUAUCGGUAACGGAUGAGGAUGCGUACGAUUAGCUAGCUGGCGGGGUAACGGCCCACCAAGGCGACGAUCGUUAGGGGUUCUGAGAGGAAGGUCCCCCACACUGGAACCGAGACGCGGUCCAGAGUCCUACGGGAGGAAGCAGUGAGGAAUAUUGGUAAAUGGUCGAGAGACUGAACCAGCCAAGUAGCGUGAAGGAUGACUGCCCUAUGGGUUGUAAACUUCUUUUGUUUGGGAAUAAAGUCAGGUACGUGUACCUGUUUGUAUGUACCAUUCGAAUAAGCAUCGGCUAAUUCCGUGCCAGCCGCCGCAGUAAAAC
rnacentral:rRNA from 1 species